UUUAAAGAACCGAGAAAAGGCAUCAGACGUCACAAACUUGGAGUCCAGAGUCUUAUCAGUCCUCUGUCUUUAGUGGCAAAAAAACAAAAGCGGAGCGUCCUAUUGGUUUUAAUCAGGCAAAUCCUUCUUCACUUUGCUUUUCUGACAAAAUUUCUGAACCAUCCUCAGCUGUGUAUUUUCUCAGAUAGUUCUUAGGAUAGUUUUGUCAAAUGUCAAAUGGCAGUAUUGUAUUUGAGUUUCAGGAGCCUGUGUGUUAAUGGACAGAGUUUUUCUCCAUGAGGUUUCUCCUCUCAGCUGCAUUUUGACUCUAAUCCAAGACGAGGGCCCCUGUAGGCAGAUGACCUGAGAUUAGAGGCAGGUAGCCGCAUUGAGCGGGAGCUCCUUCGUUAUCAGAACAGUUAGAAAGGGAAAGACGUGUCAGUAGAAGCCUUGAAGCCCUCCAGGGAGGCAGGUGGGCACGCGCACGCUCCACUGUGCCGUGUAUUACGGAGCGGCUCUGAUGUAACCUGUCCCGCGUAUGCCUGCGUUUCCAAGGUGACCUGGAGGGUCCCCACCGCAGGUGUGCGUGGGGGUUCCGUCAGUGUGAACACAGCCACCCACGCUCCUGCUUUGUCCCCUCGUCCCCCGUCCUGUGGGUCGACGUGUGGUCGGAGAAGUCGAGCAUGGUGCACGCAGCUGAGUCCAAGUCGGAGGCCUGGGUCUCCAGGUAGACGGCAGACGUGACACGGACAGACGCUUCAGCCGUCCACGCCACCUCGGGGAACGUGCUUUCUCCUUUGGGUUCGUUCAGUGACACGGACAGACGCUUCCGCCGGCCACGCCACCUCGGGGAACGUGCUUUCUCCUUUGGGUUCGUUCAGUGACACGGACAGACGCUUCAGCCGGCCACGCCACCUCGGGGAACGCGCUUUCUCCUUGGGUUCGUUCAGUGAAAACCUCAGAAGAAGAAAGAGAGAGAAUCAGCUUCCUUUAAGUUCUCUGAUUUAAUAAAGACUCCCCCAUGAGGGUGUGAAUUAAU